rnacentral:tRNA from 1 species
UGCCGGAUAGCUUAACGGUAGAGCAGACGGAGCCUGAGAAACUCCGUAAAGACGAGGGUUCGAACCCCUCUCCGGCAACCA